AAUAGAUACCCCGGUAGUCCACGCCGUAAACGAUGAGUGCUAAGUGUUAGAGGGUUUCCGCCCUUUAGUGCUGCAGCUAACGCAUUAAGCACUCCGCCUGGGGAGUACGGUCGCAAGACUGAAACUCAAAGGAAUUGACGGGGGCCCGCACAAGCGGUGGAGCAUGUGGUUUAAUUCGAAGCAACGCGAAGAACCUUACCAGGUUUUGACAUCCCACUGACCGGUAUAGAGAUAUACCUUUCCCUUCGGGGACAGUGGUGACAGGUGGUGCAUGGUUGUCGUCAGCUCGUGUCGUGAGAUGUUGGGUUAAGUCCCGCAACGAGCGCAACCCUUGAUCUUAGUUGCCAGCAUUUAGUUGGGCACUCUAAGGUGACUGCCGGUGACAAACCGGAGGAAGAUGGGGAUGACGUCAAAUCAUCAUGCCCCUUAUGACCUGGGCUACACACGUGCUACAAUGGAUGGUACAAAGGGCUGCAAGACUGCGAAGUCAAGCCAAUCCCAUAAACCAUUCUCAGUUCGGAUUGCAGG
rnacentral:rRNA from 1 species